CCAAUAGCGUAUAUUAAAGUUGUUGCAGUUAAAAAGCUCGUAGUUGAAUUUCGGGGUUUAUCCGUUGGUCGGGCUUUUGGGUCUGUACUGGCGUGAUGGAUUCCUACCUUCUGAAUAACCAGCAUGUCAUUAAUUUGGUGCGCUGGGGAAGCAGGACUGUUACCUUGAAAAAAUUAGAGUGCUUAAAGCAGGCUAUUGCCUGAAUACAUUAGCAUGGAAUAAUGAAAUAGGACGCAUGGUUCUAUUUUGUUGGUUUCUAGGAUCACCGUAAUGAUUAAUAGGGAUAGUUGGGGGCAUUAGUAUUCAAUUGUCAGAGGUGAAAUUCUUGGAUUUAUUGAAGACUAACUUCUGCGAAAGCAUUUGCCAAGGAUGUUUUCAUUAAUCAAGAACGAAAGUUAGGGGAUCGAAGACGAUCAGAUACCGUCGUAGUCUUAACCAUAAACUAUGCCGACUAGGGAUCGGACGAUGUUAAUUUUUUAAUGACUCGUUCGGCGCCUUACG
rnacentral:rRNA from 1 species